rnacentral:rRNA from 1 species
UACGUAGGUGGCAAGCGUUAUCCGGAAUUAUUGGGCGUAAAGCGCGCGCAGGCGGUUUCUUAAGCCUGAUGUGAAAGCCCACGGCUCAACCGUGGAGGGUCAUUGGAAACUGGGGAACUUGAGUGCAGAAGAGAAAAGCGGAAUUCCACGUGUAGCGGUGAAAUGCGUAGAGAUGUGGAGGAACACCAGUGGCGAAGGCGGCUUUUUGGUCUGUAACUGACGCUGAGGCGCGAAAGCGUGGGGAGCAAACAGG